rnacentral:rRNA from 1 species
CCUACGGGAGGCAGCAGUAAGGAAUAUUGGACAAUGGUGGCAACACUGAUCCAGCCAUGCCGCGUGCAGGAUGACGGUUCUAUGAAUUGUAAACUGCUUUUAUACGGGAAAAAACCUUUGAACGUGAUUCAGAGCUGAUUGUACCGUAAGAAUAAGGAUCGGCUAACUUCGUGCCAGCAGCCGCGGUAAGACGAAGGAUCCAAGCGUUAUCCGGAUUUAUUGGGUUUAAAGGGUGCGUAGGCGGAAUAAUAAGUCAGUGGUGAAAGCCCAAAGCUCAACUUUGGAACUGCCAUUGAUACUGUUAUUCUUGAGUAUGUUUGAAGUGGGCGGAAUGUAUUGUGUAGCGGUGAAAUGCUUAGAUAUAAUACAGAACACCAAUUGCGAAGGCAGCUCACUAAACCAUAACUGACGCUGAGGCACGAAAGCAUGGGGAGCAAACAGGAUUAGAUACCCUGUAGUCCAUGCCCUAAACGUUGAAUACUCGAUAUGUGCGAUAUACUGUACGUGUCUAAGCGAAAGCAUUAAGUAUUCCACCUGGGGAGUACGNUCGCAGAGUGAAACUCAAAUGAAAUUGACGGNNGAGAGNGCGAGGACGACACGAGGGAGAGG